UACAGGGGGUGCAAACGUUGCUCGGAAUCAUUGGGCGUAAAGCGCACGUAGGCGGUCUGUUAUGUCGGAUGUGAAAGCCCUUGGCUCAACUGAGGAAGUGCAUCCGAAACUGGCAGGCUAGAGUACUAAAGAGGAUCGCGGAAUUCCCGGUGUAGAGGUGAAAUUCGUAGAUAUCGGGAGGAACACCGGUGGCGAAGUCGGCGAUCUGGGUAGAUACUGACGCUGAGGUGCGAAAGCGUGGGGAGCAAACAGG
rnacentral:rRNA from 1 species